rnacentral:rRNA from 1 species
UACGUAGGAAGCAAGCGUUGUUCGGAGUUACUGGGCGUAAAGGGUGUGUAGGCGGUUAUUUAAGUUUGGUGUGAAAUCUCCCGGCUCAACCGGGAGGGUGCGCCGAAUACUGAAUGACUUGGAGUGCGGGAGAGGAAAGUGGAAUUCCUGGUGUAGCGGUGAAAUGCGUAGAUAUCAGGAGGAACACCGGUGGUGUAGACGGCUUUCUGGACCGUAACUGACGCUGAGACACGAAAGCGUGGGUAGCAAACAGG